AUUAACGUUAAUUCCUGUUUAGGAAUUCUAUUUCAAGUCUUGUUAUUUCUACACUUGGGGCUCAGGAUUUUGCACACAAGGAUAAAUGGAUUGGACCGUUAUCUAAACUAAUCUACUACACCUCUACCACACUUAGAGAUUUCCAGAGUUUAGGAGAGGAGUACACAGGACUUGUGUUGAUUAAUCCCUCAACUCUUACUAGAAUUCUUUUCAUUAUCUCUAAAUCCUUUGGUCCUAAUAUACUGGACCAUAUUCUACUCCAACUCCAGGUGCCAGGGAGCACGGAUCCAAUUAAAAAGUUUAUUUCUCUUCUCAAUUCUCUCAACACAUGCAUAUUUUUCUAUCAGGGAUUAUACAAAGAUGUACGCCGACGUGUAUUUGGUUUGCAGUACGCUAAGAUUGGAAAACAAACAGAGGACAACAGUUCUCAAUACAGGUUGCAGUUUUUUCUUGAAAAAC